AGGAAAUGCCUUACAGCUGGAUCUUAUGGAAGCAUUUUCUCAAUUGAGGAUCCUUCCUUUCAGAUGACUCCAGCUUGUAGCCAGGUGACAUAAAACUGGCCAUCACAGGCAACAAGCACGUUGCUGACUGAACCAAUUCCCCGGUCUCAGGAGAGCAUCUUUGAUGGUUCUAGAAACAGUGGAGUCAAGACAAGAUGACAGAAUCAAACCCUUGUUCCUGCCUCACACACUCUCUCUCUUCUUCUGAUACCCCAACAAUUUUUGUAACCAUUUGGGCUUUUCUAUAUCAGAGCCAGUUCCCAAACGACGACACAGAGACUUAUUUAUUUAUGAAUUAAUGCCUAUGCCUUAAGCUAGGCUUGCGCCCCAACUAGCUUGUAACUAAAUCAAUCCAUUUAUAUGAUUCUAUGUCUGCCGUGUGGUUGGUUACCUCCCCUCAGUUUCCUAUGUCUGAUUUCUUUCACAGCUCCCAUACCGGAUUCCUUCCCAGAAUUCCUACCUCUCAGUUGAAUGUCCCGCCUAUUCGAUCCUAUUGACAGGUAAAGCUUUUACACAAUGCCCAAGAGAUUAUUCCUACAAUUUCCCUUGUAGAAUGACUACCCUCUGACCUCAACUCCAGAUAAGAAAACUAAGGCUCACUGUCAAGGCAAAAAAAAAAAAAACACUGUCCCAGCAUCAGGGAGUGGCAAGGCUUUUGCAGAGCAAACUUCAAUGCUAGAGGAAUUAAGCAUCUUACAAACUCUUCUGUGGGCAGAGAAGAACUGACCCAAGACAGCAGGACAAGGUCGUGUUGGGGGAGAAACUCCAGCUGUCUGUUCUUCAGCCCUAAACAGGAGAACACCAUCUACCUUCCCAAGUGCAUCAGACUUGUUGAUGAAACAGAUGGUCCUUGGUUUGAUGCAAGAGCUGAGUCGGUGCGUGGGUAGAAGAGACUGAAAGACGCCAUCUCCCUCCACGUGUUCUCUGGGGUUGGGGGGAGCAUUUCUGAAGGGCUUUCUACAUCAUCUUCAGAGGUCCUUGGAUGAGUGUGGGCCCCUGCUGUCCACAUUAGCAGUCAGCUGAGUAACUGUGGGGCUGAGGCAAUAGCUCAGUCGUCAAAGCGCGUCAGGACUGGAUCACCAGAAUCCACAGGAAUGCUCAUGGCCUACAUGGUGGCCUGACCUUUGUCCCAACUCCAGAAGGAUUCCCGGAGCAAGAGGGCUAAGAACAUCCACAAGCUCGGAGUUUGAUUGAGAGACCCUGCCUUAAUGAAUAGGGAGGACAG
rnacentral:lncRNA from 1 species